GAGUUUGAUCAUGGCUCAGAACGUACGCUGGCGGCACGCCUUACACAUGCAAGUCGAACGAAGUAGCAAUACUUAGUGGCAGACGGGUGAGUAACAUGUAGGUAUCUUCCCUUUGGUGAGGAAUAACACGAGGAAACUUGUGCUAAUACCUCAUAAGUCUUUACAGAGAAAGCUUUAUGCGCCAUUGGAUGAGCCUGCAUUUGAUUAGUUUGUUGGUGGGGUAAUGGCCUACCAAGACUGUGAUCAAUAGCUGAUCUGAGAGGAUGAUCAGCCACAUUGGGACUGAGACACGGCCCAAACUCCUACGGGAGGCAGCAGUAGGGAAUAUUGCACAAUGGAGGAAACUCUGAUGCAGCGAUGCCGCGUGAGUGAAGAAGGCCUUUGGGUUGUAAAGCUCUUUCGUCGGGGAAGAAAAUGACUGUACCCGAAUAAGAAGGCCCGGCUAACUUCGUGCCAGCAGCCGCGGUAAUACGAAGGGACCUAGCGUAGUUCGGAAUUACUGGGCUUAAAGAGUUCGUAGGUUGUUAAAAAGUUGGUUGUGAAAUCCCGAAGCUUAACUUCGGAACUGCAAUCAAAACUUUUUAGCUAGAGUGUGAUAGAGGAAAGCAGAAUUUCUAGUGUAGAGGUGAAAUUCGUAGAUAUUAGAAAGAAUACCAAUUGCGAAGGCAGCUUUCUGGAUCAUUACUGACACUGAGGAACGAAAGCAUGGGUAGCGAAGAGGAUUAGAUACCCUCGUAGUCCAUGCCGUAAACGAUGUGUGUUAGACGUUGGAAAUUUAUUUUCAGUGUCGCAGCGAAAGCGAUAAACACACCGCCUGGGGAGUACGACCGCAAGGUUAAAACUCAAAUGAAUUGACGGGGACCCGCACAAGUAGUGGAGCAUGUGGUUUAAUUCGAAGAUACGCGCAGAACCUUACCAACACUUGACAUGUUCGUCGCGACUUUAAGAGAUUAAAGUUUUCGGUUCGGCCGGACGAAACACAGGUGCUGCAUGGCUGUCGUCAGCUCGUGUCGUGAGAUGUUGGGUUAAGUCCCGCAACGAGCGCAACCCUCACUUUUAGUUGCCAUCAUUUAGUUGGGCACUCUGAAAGAACUGCCAGUGAUAAGCUGGAGGAAGGUGGGGGUGACGUCAAGUCCUCAUGGCCCUUACGUGUUGGGCUACACACGUGCUACAAUGGUAUUUACAACAGGAAGCAAAACAGCGAUGUUAAGCAAAUCCUUAAAAAAUACCUCAGUUCGGAUUGCACUCUGCAACUCGAGUGCAUGAAGCUGGAAUUACUAGUAAUCGUGGAUCAGCGUGCCACGGUGAAUGCGU
rnacentral:rRNA from 1 species